GACGAACGCUGGCGGCUUGCUUAACACGUGCAAGUCGAACGGAAAGGCCCUGCUUUUGUGGGGUGCUCGAGUGGCGAACGUGUGAGUAACACGUGAGUAACCUUCCCUUGACUUUUGGAUAACUUCAGGAAACUGGGGCUAAUACCGGAUAGGAGCUCCUGCUGCAUGGUGGGGGUUGGAAAGUUUCGGCGGUUGGGGAUGGACUCGCGGCUUAUCAGCUUGUUGGUGGGGUAGUGGCUUACCAAGGCUUUGACGGGUAGCCGGCCUGAGAGGGUGACCGGCCACAUUGGGACUGAGAUACGGCCCAGACUCCUACGGGAGGCAGCAGUGGGGAAUAUUGCACAAUGGGCGGAAGCCUGAUGCAGCAACGCCGCGUGCGGGAUGACGGCCUUCGGGUUGUAAACCGCUUUCGCCUGUGACGAAGCGUGAGUGACGGUAAUGGGUAAAGAAGCACCGGCUAACUACGUG
rnacentral:rRNA from 1 species